UACGGAGGGGACUAGCGUUGUUCGGAAUUACUGGGCGUAAAGCGCACGUAGGCGGAUUUGUUAGUCAGGGGUGAAAUCCCGAGGCUCAAUCUCGGAACUGCCUUUGAUACUGCAAAUCUCGAGUCCGGAAGAGGUGAGUGGAAUUCCUAGUGUAGAGGUGAAAUUCGUAGAUAUUAGGAAGAACACCAGUGGCGAAGGCGGCUCACUGGUCCGGUACUGACGCUGAGGUGCGAAAGCGUGGGGAGCAAACAGG
rnacentral:rRNA from 1 species